rnacentral:lncRNA from 1 species
UUCACUUUGCUGAUGGAAUCACUAAAAAUAUAUGGUAAGUGAUACACUGCAGGCUAGAAUUACUAUACUAUUAUGAGUAUAAAUCCCUUUGUACUCAUAAGUUUUCGGUCAUUGGAUGAAUUAAUAUGCGGUUAGGAUGAUAAGGAUUCCCAGUUAAGAUGAUGACGGUCACCUAGGGUUGAGGGGGUGGUUGAUUGAAUAAUUUAAACUAACGGGAGAAAAUGGUGAAAGGGGUAGAUUUAAUAGACGAAAACUUAUGAGUACAAAGAGAUCUAUACUCAUAAGAGUAUAGUAGCCCCACUCAUUUAGUUAUAUACGAUUCAGAAGUAUAUUUGUAAAAUAUUAUUAGACUUUGUUUGGAAUUGUGGGGAGAUUGUGUUACGUCUGUUGAGCAAGUAUGAUGGAAAAUACUAUGUUUGUUUUCGUACGUAAUAUUGUGUUCCGCAUAUUGUGAUGACUGAUGAGUCGAUUAUGAUAUAUUUUCUACGGUUUCAUGGGAGAACGCAGAAGCAUAUCCCUAUAUACUUUUAUUUCAACUUUAUUUUAUCUAAUAGCGUAAGAUGGACCUCAAUACCUACUGUAAUUGGAACUGUGGCCAAUUUAUACGUAAUUACAACUACUCUAGUUGAGUCUGGUCAUAUAGUUUCAACUGUAAUAAUUAAAUUCAAAUAUAUAUGUUAUACCAACCAUUGGAUUUAUUUUUGUAUGCAAACUAUGUUAAAUGUAUUAUACCAAACAGCGGAUUUAUUUUUUGAAAAACUUCAAAUAUCACCCUUGUGAUUUCGCACUUUCUAAGUUUAGUACCCUGUGGUUUAAAGUGUAUCAAUGUAGUACCCUGUGGUUUCAUUUUUCUCUUUUUAUUAUCCAUUUCACUAUUUUUUUUUCGUUAAAUCAGUAACAAAGUUAAAACUAAAGGAUACUAAAGUAAAUAUUCGAUAAACCUAAGUAGGGUAUCUGAAGUUGUUUGUAUAUAAUUUAAUGAAAUAUUAAUGGAUGAGCUGACGAAGAAAGAAAAAUGAAACCACAGGAUACUAAAUCCAUACACUUUAAACCAAUAUUAAAAUGAGAAAGUGUGAAACCACAAAGGUGGUAUUUGAAGUUUACCCUUUAUUUUUAUAUUGCAACUACAAUUGCAAUGCAGUCGCAAGUUGCAACUAUAUAUAACCAAACAUCUCCUAAAUGUUCGAAGCUCGGUAUUUUUCAAAGUAUUUUUUGCAUAAUCGGUCAGAAAAAUCUAAUGAACAGGGCUUAAAGUACCUUAGGUAUAAGUUUCAAAACUUGAAAUCUCGAAUACCAAUUAUGAAAUUCUUAGCUAACUAUACGACUACACCAUAUACAAUUAGCAUUGAACGCAUACAAUUAUUAAUUACCAUAAAGUAAAAAUAUACAUAACUUACAUAAACUAUAAACCAUUUUAAAUCGAUUAUCUAACCUUACAAAAUUUUGAUCUUACUAUUAAUUUUUUAAUUUGUUUAAUUUGAGCCAGUAAACUGUACA